GUUAUCAAUUCAGUCCCAUUCAGAAAAUCAUUUGCUGAAUGGAGCUAUUGCCAACAUGAAAUUGACCUUCUUCAUGAGCAGACAUGGAAAAAUUGCCCUCCUUGUAGUAUUGAUCAACAUUCAUGUCAUAUUGAUGGAAAUCAAAAAGUGUACAGAUUCAGCAAAGUACCAAGGGGUCCAGUCCAAUGUUAUUAUCGUGAUGUAUUGAUUGCAAACAAUAGUUUUGUGGACUCUCAUUUAAAAAGUCUUGGUUCAAAGUCAAUUCAGAAUGAAGAUAAUUCUUGUGGCGACACCCAUUGGAAAGCUGCAAAAAUGGUCUCCAAAU